rnacentral:rRNA from 1 species
UACGUAGGGGGCAAGCGUUGUCCGGAAUCAUUGGGCGUAAAGAGCGUGUAGGCGGCCAGAAAAGUCCGCUGUGAAAACUCGAGGCUCAACUUCGAGCUGUCGGUGGAAACUUUCUGGCUAGAGUCCGGAAGAGGCGAGUGGAAUUCCUGGUGUAGCGGUGGAAUGCGCAGAUAUCAGGAGGAACACCAACGGCGAAGGCAGCUCGCUGGGACGGUACUGACACUGAGGCGCGAAAGCGUGGGGAGCAAACAGG